rnacentral:rRNA from 1 species
AAUAGAUACCCGGGUAGUCCACGCCCUAAACGAUGCGAACUGGAUGUUGGGUACAUUACGGUACUCAGUGUCGAAGCUAACGCGUUAAGUUCGCCGCCUGGGGAGUACGGUCGCAAGACUGAAACUCAAAGGAAUUGACGGGGGCCCGCACAAGCGGUGGAGUAUGUGGUUUAAUUCGAUGCAACGCGAAGAACCUUACCUGGCCUUGACAUCUGUCGAAUCCUGCAGAGAUGCGGGAGUGCCGCAAGGAACGACAAGACAGGUGCUGCAUGGCUGUCGUCAGCUCGUGUCGUGAGAUGUUGGGUUAAGUCCCGCAACGAGCGCAACCCUUGUCCCUAGUUGCCAGCACGUAAUGGUGGGAACUCUAGGGAGACUGCCGGUGACAAACCGGAGGAAGGUGGGGAUGACGUCAAGUCCUCAUGGCCCUUACGGCCAGGGCUACACACGUACUACAAUGGUCGGUACAGAGGGUUGCGAAGCCGCGAGGUGGAGCCAAUCCCAGAAAACCGAUCCCAGUCCGGAUCGGAGU